ensembl:lincRNA
GUCGAGAGGAGAGUGGGAGAGACUGAGAGAGAGUAGGAGGAAUGAAAAUAAGAGUUUAUAUGCAAGUCAGCACCACAACUGGUGCCCAGCAUUUCAUCAGCGCACACUCUUGCGUUAUGUAAAGGGCGUCAGAGAAAAUCGUGGAACUGGAAACCACCAAGUCAAGAUUCUUUUGAAUCCAAAAAACUAUUUUUACAUCGCAACAACCCAAACAAAACUAUACACUCCUAAUUUUGCUCCAAAAAAAAAAAAAAACUUUUACAAUGUUCGCUGUUAACAUAUCAAAUCAUUUUAUACCUUUUACUAAUUGCACUUCUCUAAAAUCAAUAAUUAAGACAGAAAAAUGAACAAUACAACAUUUAAAUCAAAUGUGAUCCUGCUAAUAUUGGAGAAAACAAGUAACAUAUUAUAAUCUUAAGUGACUUUUAAAAAAUAUGUGUUGUUACAUUUUAAGUAAUAUGUAAGUAGCCAACAUGUUAGGCUAUUUCUUAAUUUUUUAAAUAGUAAAAUAGGCCUAAAAUUGUAAUAUUUUACUUUUUUACCCAAUACAGGAUACUGCAGACAUUUGCUGUACUCAUUAAAAAAGAAAACAUGAGUUCCUCUAUUUUAGAAAAAUGGGACUCUUUACCAAGCUGUAAUGAACAGUUACCAGAACCCAUUUUUAAGACCCCGUCACCCUUUUGGAAUCAGGAUAUAAUAUUCAAAAGACCAAGACAAGAGUACACACCUGAUGCUGUUAGAGAGGCAUACAACUUGUAUACUUACAGGUGUGAUUUAGGCUCUCGUGUAAGUCCGGACCUUCGUUUUGGAGCAGCUCAGACCCACUCUUCUCUAAGUCUAAACUCUUCCAACAGUAGAUAUCUUCCACCUUCGUCAGAAUUACUUGUGACUGAUCCAAAUAUGCUGCAUUUUGGAAGAGGACCUUCAUACUGGAGGUAUUUCACUCCAGAAGCAGGAUAUGGACUUGUCAAAGGCUUUAGAAAGCUGCGUAAUCCACAAACUGACACACUGCCGGCUUCAUAUUUCUAUAGAGGAGUUAACAGGGAUGUUUUAAGAAGAGAUUUUCCAAUGGAGGAAACCCAAACAGGCAUGCAAAAGCACAGACUGAGGUAUUCACACUGCUACCAAGAACCACAGAGCCAGAGAGUCAGCUCCAAAAGAGACUGUGAGAGAUAUUAUGUUAAAACUAACCCACUUUUAGGUUCUCUCUUACAUGCUGAUCCAAGUAAAGAACUUUUUAAAUACAACUCAGAGCACAGCCAGCACCACCUGCUUGGUUUCAGUAAUGAUGCUGGGGCUGAAAAGAAAACAAGCGAAGGGCUCCCCCUGCUGCUCUGGAGUGGAGAUGCACAAAAACGCAGCAGAAACGCACACGUUAAAUCCUCGUCUUCGGCGCUGUGGGUUCUCCGUCGCUUUGUUGAAGGGUCUUUGGUGGAGCUGGAGGGUGGUCGCCUGAAGCGGGUGGAGGAUUUGAGGACAGAGGAUUUGGAGCUGUGUGCUCAGUUACACCCCGAGCUGAUGCUGAAGCGUUUCACUGUGUUGAAGAUCAUACCGUCACACACACCUGCGCUCUCUAGUUUACGUGUGCAGAUUGAGCAUGACUACUCGCAGUUGUCUUUGGAGGUGAGUGAAGGAAUGCCCUUCUUCGUUUAUGGCCACGGCUGGUCCUCCUGUAACCCUCAGCACACAAGUCAAAAUUGCAAACUACAGUGCCGCCAGUUAGCGGUGGGUGACUUGUGCCUGGCACUGACACGUAUGCCCGCCUCUUCAUCAGAGCUGGCCAAUCGCAGCCGAAAUGAGGUGGGUGAAGAUCCCUUGAUCCUGAGCAGUCAUGCUGAAAACAAGCCCACGCUGCAGAUAAAAGAUCCAUCAAGAAAAAGACGCUUCACAGCUCCAGAGCUCAGGGAGAUUUCCAAGAUACACCACACUACUGAUUAAAAAAAUGAAAGACUGAAUGAUAUUUUCUAGAAUUUUUUUUUUUAAGAGAAUUGCAGUCAGUUUACUGUUAUUAUUGUCAUUAUUAUUGGCACUGUAGUCUGUACAUCAGGGGUCACCAAUCUCGGUCCUGGAGGGCCGGUGUCCCUGCAGGGUUUAGCUCCAACUUGCCUCAACACACCCGCCUGGAUGUUUCAAGCAUACCUAGUAAGACCUUGAUUAGCUUGUUCGGGUGUGUUUGAUUAGGGUUGGAGCUAAAAUCUGCAGGACACCGGCCCUCCAGGAACAAGUUUGGUGACCACUGCUGUACAUUGUAACUGAAUCCUUUCACAAAUUAGUGUUUGUACAUUUAACUGCACUGUUAAUAAAUCAGUUACUGUUUUAG